rnacentral:lncRNA from 1 species
AUGAGCGCCAGUGGGAAGCAGAACUAUGGCGAGCGGGAAUCCCAUUUUGCUUCCCGAAGUGGAAGUGCUCAUGGAUCGGGGAAAUCUGCACGACAUACACCUGCAAGGUCUCGCUCCAAGGAAGACUCAAGGCGUUCUAGAUCAAAGUCGAGGUCCAGCCGAGAUUGUCGCAGGCGCCACAGCCACAGCCAUUCUCCCAUGUCUACUGGAAGGCGUCAUGUUGGGAACCGGGCAAAUCCUGACCCCAAUUGUUGUCUUGGCGUGUUUGGGUUGAGCUUAUACACCACAGAAAGAGACCUAAGAGAAGUGUUCUCUAAAUAUGGCCCCAUUGCUGAUGUGUCUAUUGUAUAUGACCAGCAAUCUAGAUAUUCAAGAGGAUUUGCCUUUGUAUAUUUUGAAAAUGUAGAUGAUGCCAAGGAAGCUAAAGAACGUGCCAAUGGAAUGGAGCUUGAUGGGCGUAGAAUUAGGGUCGAUUUCUCUAUAACAAAAAGGCCCCAUACCCCAACACCAGGAAUUUAUAUGGGGAGAGCCACUUAUGGCAGUUCUCGCCGCCGAGACUAUUAUGACAGAGGAUACGAUCGGGAGUAUGAUGGCCGGGGCUAUUACAGCAGAUCAUACAGAGGAGGAGGUGGGGGAGGAGGUGGAUGGAGAGCAGCUCAAGACAGGGAUCAGAUUUACAGAAGACGGUCACCUUCUCCUUACUACAGUUGUGGAGGAUACAGGUCACGUUCUCGAUCACGAUCCUACUCACCUCGUUGCUACUAA